ensembl:lncRNA
UCUUAGAUAAAGUAUUUAUCGUUUUUUAAAAAGUAUAAACAAUUUUGACUUAUUUUAUUCCACCGAAGUCGUGAAGGCGACCUAUCGAGAGAUGUAGAUACUAUAUUAUAUGAGAGAAUAUAUGUAAAGACAUCGCCGAAGGACCGGCCCACCGCGGAGACGCUGGCAGCCGGCCCGGUGCUAUCUCGUCGCCAGGCUCGCGCCUCCACGUGCUCUUGGUGCUGACUCUCGAGGUUGACCACGCCAACGCCAGGCCCUAGCGCCUGGCGUGUUCAUUCCCGCCGCUCUUCCCAUACCAAAGGCGGCGUCUCCGGUGGAGGCCCGCCCCGCCCCGCCAUCACUGUGAACGGCCUCGGCUCAGCCCUCGGGAUGGCGCCUUUGGCAUCGGAACGGCAGUCCUGCGCGGCAAGGCUGCGGUGGCGGAGCCUCGAGGAGGGGACCCGUUCUCAGUGGUGCUUGUGAGGAGGGUCUGGUACCCGACUCUGCUGCCUGCCUGGCUGACUCACUCGUGUGACAGGUGCAUUUACUUUGUACGUCUCCGCUCGCCCCGGGCUCACGCCGCAGCCCACCCCACCCCACCCCACCCCCACCCCCGCCCCCGCAGGGUCGGCUCCUGUGGUGGCCGGGGACGCAGGCGGGUUAGUUGUGGGUGCCUGCUUUGUCUACAAGGGAGUCACGCUGACAGGUGACAGUAUUUUAUAGAGAGGUGAUGAAAAUUUAUAAAUUUCAUAGACGGACUUCAUUUAUUUUUAGACUGUAUGACGAAUACACAGUAAACUAAAGAGAAAAGGAAGAAAGGAAAGUGAGGGGAAACCCUCCCGCCUGUUCAAGGGCACAGCGGCACUGGCCCAGGGCCCUCCUGCCCACCCUGCUGGGGUGACACCUGCUCCACCCGAGCGGCCACGGUGGUGCUUGGGAAGGGAUGCGCUGGGGGUGGCCGGGCAGGAGGGCUGCUCGCUGAGGCUCCGAGGUGCCCGGUAGGGUUCUCGGUCCCUCGAGCACAGCACCUGUGACCAGUCCUGGGUCCCUGGGUGGGGCAAUGUUGUCUGUGUGCCUCCCGAGAAGCUCUCGGUCCCCCGAAAGGGCCAACGUCGGCCAAAGGUGGGCGCCCCAGCGAGGGCUGAGCAUGGGCAGUCGGAGCCCCAUCCUCAGGUGUUUGCCACCCAGGCGGCACCCGUCAAGGAGCACGGGAGGGUGGGCCUCUGUGUGGUGGCCUAACGUGAGCCUUCCCCGGCCUGGCCGACUCCACAUACCCUUCAGAGGUGGACGCCACGGGUCCUCCGCCUGCCCUUGAGUGGGGUCAGUGUGGUGGCCGAGGCCCGGCCCCGCUUCCUGACCCCCGGGACGCAGGCCACAAGGGUCAGAGCGGGCCAGUGCGCUGCCUGCAGCCACCUCUACACUGUGUGGGGCAGCAAUCAGGCUAGAGACGGAGCCUUCCUCCUGUGACCGCCCGCCCUGCCCCCCUUCCCCCCAGGUCGGUGCUCCCAGUGCACGACGGUGCUGUCCUGACCCCCGGCCCCCGGCCUCUCCAAGAGGCUCCCCUCCCCGUGUCAGGAACACAGGGCUCCCGAGAAAGCUACGGCGCUGCCAGCGGAGCCCCCAUCUGAACAAAGGACACUGUACACAAACACUGCAGUCACUUCGGGAGGACCACCGCGCCGCGUCUGUCCUCUGCACGCACGCGCAAGCACCAGGGGACGGACGACCCGCGCAGGGCCUGCCCCACAGCGGGGCCCAGCUCGGCCUCUCCACACCCACCCUCCGGUCCCAGCCUGAGCGCCGCCGCUGACGCCAGCCACGGGAGUAGGGCGCCGGCUGGCGUGCGUGGGGAGCGGCCCUGCGGGAGCCCCACCGCUGCUGCCGACGCGGGUGCUCCAGGUCUGACAGCUGCUGUCGCUUUGCUCAGGAAAACCUAACAACUAGGACAGCCUCCAGUCAGGGGAUGCGUUCUCCGUUCAGCUAUGAAUCGUGACCUAUUUAAGAACCACCCCCCCCCAACUGCCCUUAUUUAUCCUGCCAGCCGGCCCGUCUACAGUUAGGACUGUUUGUUCUCAUUUACACAUCCAUCCACGCUGGCUCACGCAUCCCUGCCUUGGUUUGUAACGGAGACGGGCUUUGCUUUCUUGUUCUGGUAGCCUAUGUUUCAGUUGGGGCGCUGGCUCCACCCCCUCUUCCCAAGGGAACCCCACUGCACUGCGUUUCCACCUCUAGACGCUGUAAUAAAAUACCUGUUUUCACUUG